UACGAGUGCCCCGAGCGUUGUCCGGAAUUAUUGGGCGUAAAGGGUGUGUAGGAGGCGCUGUUAGUCUUGUCUUAAAUCUCGUUGCUUAACGUCGAGAAUGGGCGAGAAACGGCAGUGCUUUGAGGAUGUGAGAGGUCUACGGAACUCUGGGUGUAGGGGUGAAAUCCGUUGAUAUCCAGGGGAACACCAAAAGCGAAGGCAGUAGACUGGCGCAUUCCUGACUCUGAGACACGAAAGCGUGGGUAGCGAAUGGG
rnacentral:misc_RNA from 1 species